AACGAACGCUGGCGGCAUGCCUAACACAUGCAAGUCGAACGGGAUCCAGGCUUCGGCCUGGUGAGAGUGGCGGACGGGUGAAUAACACGUGGGAACCUGCCUUUUGGUUCGGGAUAACCGCGGGAAACUGCGGCUAAUACCGGAUGCUCCCGAGAGGGGAAAGAUUUAUCGCCAGAAGAGGGGCCCGCGUCCGAUUAGGUAGUUGGUGAGGUAAUGGCUCACCAAGCCGACGAUCGGUAGCUGGUCUGAGAGGAUGAUCAGCCACACUGGGACUGAGAUACGGCCCAGACUCCUACGGGAGGCAGCAGUGGGGAAUAUUGGACAAUGGGGGCAACCCUGAUCCAGCAAUGCCGCGUGAGUGAUGAAGGCCUUAGGGUUGUAAAGCUCUUUUGCCAGGGAAGAUGAUGACUGUACCUGGAGAAUAAGCCCCGGCUAACUUCGUGCCAGCAGCCGCGGUAAU
rnacentral:rRNA from 1 species